rnacentral:lncRNA from 1 species
AAUAUACUCUUCAGAGAUAAAAAUCCUAACGAAACACUUGAUGUAUUAUGCAUGUCAAUGGAGAUACAAACUUCGGACAAUUCAUGCUUCAUUCCAAUUUUUUUUGUUUCUUUUAUUUUUUCCAGGUAAAUAUACCGACUUCAUAUUAUUUUUAUUAUAUGAAAAUCAUCAAGUGUUUAUAAAUCACAUAGCAUGCUUGAAAUAGGAAUAGUUCAACUUAUUAGACCUACAAACACAAAAGCAUGCAAAACAAGAAAAAUCACAAUUAUCAUAUUUAAUGAUUUUUCUUUUAUCUAAACAUACUCCUUAAGAUGUUGAAAGAAAUAUUAAAUUCCUUACCGAAACCUUGACAUUUUCUUCUCUACCAUUCUUAUUUUCUCUCUAGAUCACUUUCUCUUUCUUUCUCUCUCUGUCAUUAUUGAAAAAUGGAAGAAUGGGAAGGGAAGACCUAUUUAUACCACCAGAUUCGCACCAAGUGGCAAAAUCAAGUGAAGAGAUAGAGAAAAAAGAUGCUCGACACAAAAAAUGAGGGAGGAAAGUC